AUCCUUAUGCAAGGGCAUUACGUGUAUCAGUGAGGAUUCGUCCGAGAUCAUGUUUUUGCUAGUUGAAAACUAUCAACUGACCGCUCUCUAGUGGACGGAACCAUGUUCUGACCGCUCGAGGAAUUUUUGGAACAUAUAUCAAUCGAAUAU
rnacentral:snRNA from 1 species